CAGCAGCAUUGUGCUGGCACAUCCAUCUUCAGCUGCUUUGUUCAUUACAGCUUAGCUCUGUAACCUGAAUUGAAAGGAAACCUCUUGUAAUAUACUCUUGUUUCUAUUGACCAGCAGGAACACAUGGGUUUUCUGUGACAUGGAGAGAUGGCAGGUGUGGCUGAGUGGAGACAAAGUGAGGAUUUUCAUAAAGAUUAGAGCAGGACUUUGCGAUGCACACUUGGAUCACUGGGAGCAAGGUAGGAACAAAACCCUGGAUAAGUUAAUAGUUCAUCUCAAGGC